UUGCUGUGAUGACAGUCUUAGGACACCUUUGGAUUAGCCAUGAAAAAAAAAACACGUUCUGAGCAAC